CCAUGUAAUACAUAAGGGAAAGAGAUACAUAGUUGGCUUACAAUCGCCACUUCACACAAUUACAUGAAUAAAGCAUUACAUCAUCCAGAUACAAUCAAGGUCCGACUACGGAACCGAAAUAAAAGAAGAACCCCAAAUGCGACAAAGGUCCCCGAUCGACCCCAACUGGGCUCCACUACUGAUCAACUAGAACGAAACAACACAAAGGGCAAGAUCUUCAUCGAGCUCCUCCUGAGUUUGGUUGCGUCAUUUGCACAGACUCAUCAGCACCUGCAAGCUAGUUUUGGAAGUAUCUGUGAGCCACGGGGACUCAGCAAUCUCGCACCCGCGAGAUCAAGACUAUUUAAGCUUAUAGGAAGGAUGGAGUAAUGAGGUGGAGCUGCAGCAAGCGACUAGCAUAUAUGGUGGCUAACAUAUGCAAAUGAGAGCGAGAAGAGAAGGCAAAGCACGGUCGAUAAAAGCAUGAUCAAGAAGUGAUCCUAUAGCAACCUACGUCAAACAUAACUCCAACACCGUGUUCACUUCCCGGACUCCGCCGGAAAGAGACCAUCACGGUUACACACACGGUUGAUGUAUUUUAAUUAAGGUCAACUUCGGGUUUUCUACAACCGGACGUUAACAAAUUCCCAUCUGCCCAUAACCGCGGGCACGGUUUUCGAAAGUUCAAAUCCCUGCAGGGGUGUCCCAACUUAGCCCAUCACAAGCUCUCACGGUCAACGAAGGAAUAGACCUCCACCCGAGACACUCCGAUCAGACUCGGUAUCCCGGUACAACAAGACACUUCGGCAGGGUAAAACUAAACCAGCAACACCGCCCGAAUGUGCCGACAAAUCCCGAUAGGAGCUGCACAUAUCUCUUUCUCAGGGCACACUCAGAUGAGUCUAGCUACGAGUAAAACCAACCCUCAAGUUUCCCCGAGGUGGCCCCACAGGCAGCUCAGUUCGGACCAACACUCAGAGGAGCACUGGCCCGGGGGGGGGUAAAAUAAUGAUGACCCUUGAGUCCGCGAAACCCAAGGGAAAAAGAGGCUAGGUGGCGAAUGGUAAAACCAAUGUUGGGCAUUGCUGGAAGAGCUUUACUUAAGGCGAACUGUCAAGGGGUUCCCAUAAUAGCCCAACCGCGUAAGGAACGCAAAAUCCGGGAACAUAACACCGAUAUGACGGAAACUAGGGCGGCAAGAGUGGAACAAAACACCAGGCAUAAGGCCGAGCCUUCCACCCUUUACCAAGUAUAUAGAUGCAUUAAUUAAGUAAGAUAUAUUGUGAUAUCCCAACAAGUAAAUAAAUGUCCCAACAAGGAACGGCAUCUCCAUGUUCCAACAAGGAACAAACUUCAAUCUUCACCUGCAACUAACAACGCUAUAAGAGGGGCUGAGCAAAGCGGUAACAUAGCCAAUCAACGGUUUGCUAGGACAUGGUGGGUUAGAGGUUUGACAUGGCAAUUUGGGAGGCUGACAAGCAAAUGGUAGGCAUCGUAGCAUUGGCAUAGCAAAAGAGCGAGCAAACUAGCAUAGCAAAGAUAGUAGUGAUUUCGAGGGUAUGAUCAUCUUGCCUGAAAUCCCGCAAGGAAGAAGAACGAAUCCAAGAAGAAGACAAACGGCCGUAGACGAACGAAUCCUCACAACUCCGGAACGAAACCGAAGCUAACGUGAGAAGCAACCCGGAAAGGAACAAACAACAUAGUAAACACACAAGCAUAAACAAGUCAUGAUGCACAAACAAGUAUGAUGCAUGUCCGGUUUAAUGAGGCAUGGCAUGGCAAAGUGCAACAAACAAUACUACAAGUUAAGUGGAGCUCAAUAUGCAAUGAGGUGCAUGUUGACGGAACACCACAUCAAUUAUUUAGUUAUCUCUCGUUUAUGUACCCAACAAUAUUAACUGUUGUUAAACAUGGCAAGAGGUGAAGCAUAAUAUAAACUAUACCAUCUAAACAAUUUAAAUGGGGCCGGAUAUAAAAACAACAAAUCCGGUAAAUCCCCAUAUGCAUUUAGCAAUUUAAUGCAACAACAAGUUUAAACAUUUUAAAUGUUGUUAUCAUGAUGCGGAUGACAUAUGCAAGUUUUAUGCAAUUUUUAUGAAAAUGUUGACAUGAGCAUGAUAAGAAGCAUUAGUCGCCAUGGCGGAAGGAAAAAGGUGCCACGGCGGCGAAACAAAAAUGGUGCCACGGCAACAUAUCCGAAAAUGAUGUCACGGCAACAUAUCGGUUCCGGUAGCUCACGGAGAUACCGGUACAAAAGGAAGUGAGCGUGAGCGAGUCAUGCAAGAUGGUGGGGUGCUCCCGGCUACCGGGUUCCCACGGGAUUGUGGCAUGGAAACGAGGAGGAACUUGCAAUGACAAUUCGGACAUGGUGCAAACACGGGCAUCUCAUACAACGUGCAUUCGGUCCACGGCGGUCGUUUCGGGUUAUACCUUCGAAGCGUUCAAACGAGACGGUUCGCAUUCGGAGCGGUGUAGAGGAAGUAGGCGUUCACGGGACGUCGUCGGAAAUAGUUGUUCACGUGGCGACGGUAGUGGAAGUAGUGGUACACGACGGCGGCGGUAGUUGUUCAGGGUCUUGGCGGGUCGUCGUGUAGCCGUACAUGUUAGUCGUGGUACUUGCGGUCUCGGCGACGGUAGUCGUUCACGUGUGACCGUGGUGUAGUCGUACAUGUCGGCGAUAGUGGAACUUGGUGGUCUCGACGGUCAUCGGGGUACUUGUUGGUCCGGUCUUGGCGUCCGCAAUCGUAGUGGUACUUGGCGGUUUCGUGUAGUCGAACUUGACGAUCCAGGUAUGGGUCUUGGCGGUCUUAACGAAUCCAAGGACAGAACCAUGGCGAGGUUCAACAGCUCCCCCACGUCCAUGAUGAAAAACGAAGCUCGGGCAGGGAGUCGGAGCAGCAAGCAGGGGCUCGCUGGGCCUCGGCGCCGGUGCAGGGGCUCCGGCAGGCGGGACUUGGCGGCAGCAGCAGGUCCAGGAGGGGUCGCCGGGGCUGGACGGCACGAGGACGACGCCGACGAUCUCCACGGCCACGGCGGACGGCAGAACUGGACGGAUUCGAGGGCAGGGAGACGGCUUGGCGACGCGGGACUUGAGGCGCAGGAGGAUGAUGGCUGCGGGCACGGGUGCUCGAGGAGCUCCUCUCCUCGGGCGCUCGGGCGACGGGGACGCCAUGGAGACCAGGCGCGAGGUGGAGGGAGCAGCUCCGUCAUGGCGGGGUACGAGGCGAGGACGAGGAAGCCAAGGGGAGGCGUCGCGCACGGGGUGGCCCUCCUGGUGGUCGCCAACGGCGGCGGGUGGCGACGGGGCUCCGGCCUGGUGGCUGCUCGGGGAUCCGGCAGGCGGGGCUCGCACCGCGGCGGCGGCUGAUAGACGAGGAGGCGGGCGAAGUGGGGCUUCGGCUGUGGGGCGCUGCGGGAUGAAGAGGGAGCAAGGAGAAGGGAGAAGACGAGCGUGAGGAGGGGUAUCGCGCGCUGGGGAUCAGGGAGAGAGCGAGAGGAGGGAGGCGAGGGGAUCGAGCGCUGGGUCUCCCUGGCGAUGCGGUGUGUGUGUGCGCGGCAGCGGGCAGAGGGAACGAGAGGGAGAGAGAUGCGCUCGGGCUAGGGUUAGGGAGCUGGGCCGAGGAUUAGGUGGGCCAAACCGGCCAGUUGGGCUGCAAAGCUGGCUGGGCCAGUCCGGUGGGGAGGAAAAUGGCCAGGGGCCUGAUUGGUUUUAAAAGGAAAAGAAACGGGUUAUUUCCUUUUAUAUAAAAAAAAGAAAUGUAGAUAUAUUUAUUUGGUAAGGCAAAUAAAUACAAGUUGAGUUCAAAACUGACAUGGAUCUACUUUGACAUAUUUCAAAGCAUGACAGCUUGAACCGAAGCAAAUUGGAGAAAGAUCAAGGUUAGAAUAUUCGGAAACGAGAGUGGUUUUAAAUGCCAGUUUGUUUGGGAUGAUUCCAUACGAAUGGAAUAUUUAUUGUAGCUCCCUAAAAUAUUGGGAGGAUAUGUAAUAAAGAGAAAUCACCAUGUGAAUAUCCCUCGAUUUAAAUGGACCGAAGAUCCAUGCAAUUUAUUUAGUUGAGAUGCAAAAGAUUUAUGAGAUGAUGGCAUGAUGACAUGAUGCAAUGCACAUGAUGCAAAGAUGAAUGCAUCAAACAAAUAAAUCACACGACGAAACUCAGAGUAGCUGGAAGUCUUCUGGACCGUCGGUCUCGGGGCGUUACAACACUCCACCACUACAAGAGGAUCUCGUCCCGAGAUCUAGGAUGGCACUGGAGGGAAACGGAAGAGGAAGAUAAGCGGUAAAACUAAGUUGCUUCUUCGACCAAUGAGUGAAACCACGAACCUUGAGAGGUUGAGAAAUUAGAGAUGAACGAGAUUGCAAACAAUCCGUUAGAAAAUAGGAACGAGGAACAUUACGGGAACUUGAAGGUUGCAAAGACACGAAUCAAGAGUUUAAUGGACAAGAUAGAAUUCGAAACCACUCCAGUUAAAACAAGAUGAGAGAGAAAGAAUUUGGGCAGCACUCCGGUUGAAGAUGGAAGGAAAAGAACAUGAAUUUGGCAAAAUGAAAGCACUUGGAUGAGACUCCGGUUAAAUGGAUAAGCAAGGAAAAGAACACGAUCCUCACAAUUCGAGAUGAUGAGUGAAAAGUACAACAUCACAAUGCCUCCGGAACGAAAGAAUAGAAGUUAGAGUGUUGGGAUAAAGGGACGGAGAAGGAAAUGUCAACUCCUACCACAAUUUAAUUUGGAAAGCAUCCUUGCAGGAAGGUUAGAACAAAGUUGUUGGAAGACCAACAACGAAAAGAAUAAGUUUGUAGUGGGCUUAUGGAACACAUCUCAAAACUAUGAGCUGAAAUUCUGCCACUAAUGGAAACGAUAUAUUAGAUUGAUAACAACAAGGAGAUGAGAAGCUUAAUUCACCGGGAGGAUAGAUGAAUAACUUGGGUCAUUUAUAACCAACAUAGAUAGCAACAAGCCAUAGGGAAGGCUUUAGGUGAAAUCUAUACCAAGAUAACUCCAACAAAGAGAUUAAUGGAUUUAAAAUAUCUCAUACUUGAUAACUUGUGAAACACGAAGCACGAAGGGAAAUUAUCAAGAAUGACAUAAUACCACCUCCAAUGAUAUGGUAGAAAGGAAAUGCACUUCGGAAUGCGAGAUGAAGAAUGCUUUAGCUCCUUAAAAAGAAUCUCGAUGAAAACUUCAAGAAGGGAAUUAAAUCCUUGAUGAACCAUCAUGUAGAACCUCCAUGAAGAACUCCGGUAAACAAAAGGAAUGAAAAGAAAGAGAAAUUGAAAACACAAGGUGAAUCCUUGCAAUGAUUUAGAUGGACCUCCGUGAUAAUUAGAGCUUGGAACUCCGGGAAAAAGAGAAGAUGAAACAAAUGAAACCGAGAAUUUUAAGGGCCUCCGGAAUAAAGAAUUAAUCACUUGGAUGAACAAGAAUAAGAAUUAUGUUAUGCUUAUCCUUCACCAAUUAAAUUGAUGACAAUCAACGGAUUUGGCAUAUUACUUAUUCUCGUAGAAAGGAUUAAAAGAGAUAUAGCGUAAACUUGAGAAGGUCUUCAACGAACCACCGGUAGGAUUGGAACAACAAAUGAAUUAAUAUGAUAAGAAAGAAGAAAAAAUCUUGAACGAACCAUCGUACGAAUUGACAAUGAAUUAAGGGAAGACAAAGAAACACCGGGAAGAAUGGAGAAAUGAACGAAGAUAAAUGAGACAAUCUAGAUACAUGAGAACGAAGAGAGCAUGAGCCGAUUAAAGAUCACUUGAACAAGGCACCGGUAAGAUCGGAGAAUGAUAACUGCAAACUGAGAAUGAAUAAAUCUUCGAUGAUGGGCUCUGGAUAUUCAAACUGAGAAGACUCUUGAAUAUCUCCUGAUGGGUGAAAAAGAUUCUCACAAUCGAAAACAAUUAUGAGAGGAUGGCCUCGAACUAGAACCACGAAUCAUGAAGAGAAUGGACCAAGAUUUAAGAGAAAUCCUUCUUCGAUCUUCAAAAGUUGAGAAAGAUGAUGAGAACCACCAUGAAUUGUUGAGAUACUCCGGAAUGAAAAUUGGAAAGGUUGAACCAACGAUGAAAAUAUUUCAAAGCGAUCUUGGAGAAGGCAUGUGACUGAUGGAAUCCAUUCUUACGUCACACUUUGAAAAGAAUUUGGGAAUAGCACCAGAAUAAUUAGAAGAGUCAGGUAAGAUCCUGGGAAAAAAAACCUGUGGGUUAGGGCCCACUCAAAAUAAAACACUGUUGAAAUGAUUUAAAAGAGAGAAAGCACCGGUUGAAUUAAAUGGCUUGAAUGAGAUAACAACCUCGAAAUAUCUUGAACGGAUUGAGAAUGGAAACACAAGUCCUCCGAGAUAUCUUGAGCACUCCAGAACAAAUGAAAAGCGAGAAGUGAAAGAUUGAGAGGUGCACCGGUAUGAACAAGCAUUUGACACGACGAAAAAUAUGAUCAACACCGAAAGCUUGAAAUUAACACCACCGGAGAAGAAACAAUAAUGAAGGAUGAUGAACUAGAAGCUUGUGAGCAUCUUCACGAGGGAUCACUGGAUCAGAACAUUGAUCGAAAAGAGUGAAGUGACUUCACAUGAAUAAAUGGAUACUUGAUUAAAAUAAAUGAGUCCUUCAAGAAAAAGGGGUGGGAGGGCGGGAAAACAAAAACAACUUGGGACGGAUGAAACAAACACCGUUGAGAAAACUGAGAGGUGAUCUUGCGAAUGUUGAAAUGAUCGGAUCCACUUGAAAAGAAGCACACCGGUUGGAAAGAAUUGACAUGACAAUCUCGAUGAUCGAAAGGAUUAGCACUCCCAUAGAAAUAUGAGAACACCAUUUAAGAAAGGUAUGGAUUCAACAUUUGAUUCGAAGCAACUCGAAUACCACAAAUAAAACAAAACAAAGGAUUGGCUUGCAGAAUAAGCCGGAACAAACAUAUGAUAGAGAUUCCGUCCAAAGUUUUCGUGGUGGGGCCUACACGGGCUCGAUCGUACAGCACCAUCAUGUACAAGGCAGUGCACAUGACAUAUGAAGCGUCCCCGAGUCGGCAUAGCCAAGGACUCUUUAAGACACAAUGAGACCACUGUAAAACCAACCGUGAAUAGGCGGACCACUAGACGUCGAACCCCAAUUUCAUAUCAUACAUCCGUCGGAAAGAUAUCCUAAGAGCUACUUGAAUUCCCACUUAUAAACUCCCGAAAUUUUCUGGUUAUGCAAUCAGGUGUUGGGGAUGCAGGGGAAGCAUAAUAUCUCACCCAAAACUAUCAAAUCCUACAUCCAGCUGUAUCCAUCCUUCAACACAUAACCAAGAAACCUUCGGAAAUCGUCUACCUCAACCUUCGAAAAGCAUCCGUUAUACAAGUCAUGGCAAUACUCCCGUACUCACCUCAGUACUGGGUUAUCGGGGUUAUCUCACCAACAACUGCAUAAAAGAGAUUUUCGAUGUCGGCGUACUAAACUCAGGUAUUCCAGAACUGCAACGAUAAAAUUAUGAUGACAACACCUCAGAGCUCAACUCCCCGGGACACUUCCACUAAACCCCUGACAGGAGGCACCAAGACAAUGUUCUCAUCAUAAAACCAUCGGAACGAUUCCAAGAUACCCGUGUGAUCCUAAAAAUUUUUUUUAGUGAAAUUUGAGAAGAGUCAAAACUCUACGUCAGGAUGCCUUACUAGAGCGAUGAGGAGACUGGGAAGUAAAAAGAAUUCCUAAACUCUCCGAUAUAUAAUUCCUAAAUGACUCAAAACAUUUUUUUCUAGACACAAACUCGGCUGCUAAAAACGAUCAAUCAGUGGGGCUCCUAAGGUCGGGGAAGGCUCUGAUACCAACUUGUAACGCCCUCGAUGCGGCUAUAUCUCCCACGUGUCGAAGCACGACUUAGAGGCAUAACCGCAUUGAAAGCAAUGUCGCAAGUGAGGUAAUCUUCACACAACCCAUGUAAUACAUAAGGGAAAGAGAUACAUAGUUGGCUUACAAUCGCCACUUCACACAAUUACAUGAAUAAAGCAUUACAUCAUCCAGAUACAAUCAAGGUCCGACUACGGAACCAAAAUAAAAGAAGAACCCCAAAUGCGACAAAGGUCCCCGAUCGACCCCAACUGGGCUCCACUACUGAUCAACUAGAACGAAACAACACAAAGG
rnacentral:lncRNA from 1 species